rnacentral:lncRNA from 1 species
UCGGCCUCAGAGUCCCCGCCGGUACAGCAAGGGCCUGGGCGGGGAUGCCCCUCGGAGCCGGAGUGCCGCGCCCACGCGCUCGGGCAGCAGCACCCACGCCUCCUCCGACUCCAAAGUAUAUUUAGCCUCAUUAUCAAAUGUUUGCAGUGAACCGUGUGAACCGCCUAAUAGCGGCUGGAAGUGAAACUCGACUCCCAGCCAGAAGGAAGCAUGUGAUCCCUUCCACCCGCUGGGAUCACGUCGGGUAGGGUGGGACAGGUGCUGCGGCCCCCGCGCGCGGGCCCGGGUGGCUCUGCUCGCACCUCUCCAUUCGCGGCUCCAAACCUGAACACCUCUUCUCACACAGCCUCCCCCUACAGGGGCUGAAAUGAGGAGUCUGGAGUUAGACUGGGAGGAAGGGGAAGAGGGAGGAGGAGGAGGCCCACGCGGCGUGGUUCUCAUCCAGGCCUGUGGUCUCUGGGAGAAGGCUGACCUACCGAGUCUAUUUCCAGUUCGCAGAAAGAGUUGUCUAGGGUUCACUUUUUCCCGGGCCUGGGGGAGGGGGGCUUUGGGGGAAGGUCGUGGUCCCUGUCCCAAGCAGGGCGCCCAGGGGCUUGAGGACGCGAGUGCCCGAGCGCCCCCCCCCCCAGCGUCGUCUGUCGCGCCGCCGCCCAAGUUCUCACCACCCUCGGGCGGUCGCUGUUGUUGUGGUCGCCAUGGCGACGGGUCGGUUUUAUUUUUAAUAGCUGCCAGCGAUACGAGAGAUGCCUGCGCCGCACGCCCCGAAGCUCCCGAGUCCCGGGGUGAUGUGCCCAGGCUCCGCCUGGCUCUGGCCCCAGGCUCCCGCCCUGGGAGCCCCUUUCCGUGUCCCCGGAUCUUCCCCACCCGCCUUGAACUCCAGCUGGGCGCCCCUAUAGCGCCAGGAGGAUUCCCACGUCCGCUGUCACACGGGGUCCUUGAACCCCAAGGAGGUGUCCUCGCGUCCCCUCUGCCCGCGAGGAGUCCGAGGCCGAGCGGGUCAUGAUUCGCACAACUCCCAGGAUAAGAAGGCGAGGGCUCGACCGGGGGCCGCCUUCCAGAAAGCCCCUCCAGAGCACCAGGAGGCUCCACCCGGACAGACGGCCGGGCUUUCAG